CGAUAUUGUUCUAUUAUAGAGCGUAACGUUUACCAUCCUCUGGUAAUAAUAAUACUAUAAUAUUAAUUUGUCGGUUAAUUGAGUACGCGCUCUUUGCGAGACUAUAUUAUAGUUUAAAUCCGACAAAAGAUUUUAAAUUAAUCUAAGAAUAGUAUACAUUUUGUUUGUUAAUUAUACGAUCCGAGAGAUGAUAAAUCCAUUAUUUUCGCAUGCGCACACAUUGAUUAGGAAAUUAUAUAUAUUUAAUAUUUAAGUACGAAAUCGAUUAAGUUCUAUCCGAGAAAAUA